rnacentral:lncRNA from 1 species
UAUUUAAACAUCUCGUAUAGUUAUCGGCACGGAAAAUGAGCUCUCGGCGGAAGAGUGGGGAUCGCUUUGCGCACUGUACACUUAAGGCAAUAAACCAAUAAAUCACUUCUGCGCAGGUGAAGGUCAGGGCUCAAUAUCCGUGCCGAUGAUUAUACUGAUUUGUAAAUGUAACAAGAUUCAAAAGACUUAAUUUUGUAUAUUUUAUUUAAAUAAAAGUGAUUUGAUUUUAUAAGUAUUUUUAUGUAAAACUUGCUAGAUUUUUUUUUACAAUAAUGUAGGUAAUGAUUAUAAGAUUUCUUGGUACCUAGUCACCUAAUAUGGAUGAAAUAAAGCUUAAGGUGAAUGCUUUGACUGGUUGCGAAAAUUUAAAAAAAAAAAAACAUUUUUGCUGUCACUAAACUAUUUAUUAAAAUUAAUUGUACAAUUUGGCAUCA